CUAAGCCAUGCGAGUCUUUGUAGUAAUACAAGGCAGACGGCUCAGUAACACGUAGUCAACCUACCCUAUGGACGAGAAUAAUCUCGGGAAACUGAGCAUAAUUCUUGAUAGAUCAUAAUGCCUGGAAUGGUUUAUGGUUAAAAUGAUUCGUCGCCAUAGGAUGGGACUGCGGCCUAUCAGCUUGUUGGUGAGGUAAUGGCCCACCAAGGCGAUUACAGGUACGGGCUCUGAGAGGAGAAGCCCGGAGAUGGGUACUGAGACACGGACCCAGGCCCUAUGGGGCGCAGCAGGCGAGAAAACUUUGCAAUGUGCGAAAGCACGACAAGGUUAAUCCGAGUGAUUUCUGCUAAAGAAAUCUUUUGCCAGUCGUAAAACCACUGGCGAAUAAGGGGUGGGCAAGUUCUGGUGUCAGCCGCCGCGGUAAAACCAGCACCUCAAGUGGUCAGGAUGAUUAUUGGGCCUAAAGCAUCCGUAGCCGGCUUUGUAAGUUUUCGGUUAAAUCCAUGUGCUCAACGCAUGGGCUGCCGAAAAUACUGCAUGGCUAGGGAGUGGGAGAGGUAGACGGUACUCAGUAGGAAGGGGUAAAAUCCUUUGAUCUAUUGGUGACCACCUGUGGCGAAGGCGGUCUACCAGAACACGUUCGACGGUGAGGGAUGAAAGCUGGGGGAGCAAACCGGAUUAGAUACCCGGGUAGUCCCAGCCGUAAACGAUGCAGACUCGAUGAUGCAUUGGCAUAAUAGCCAAUGCAGUGU
rnacentral:rRNA from 1 species